CCGUGCUAGGCGGGGAGGUAGCGGUGCCCUGUACUCGCAAUCCGCUCUAGCGAGGCUGAAUCCCUUCCCGAGGCUGGUGUCCUGUAGGGCCUGCCUUAAGUAAGUGGUGUUGACGCCCGGGUCUGCGCAAUGGGAAUCCAU
rnacentral:SRP_RNA from 1 species